ACCUGGCAUACAAUGUAGAAUUCUGUGUUAGUACCAACAGCUACAUUGUCUGCUGGGUUUC
rnacentral:pre_miRNA from 1 species